rnacentral:rRNA from 1 species
GACGAACGCUGGCGGCGUGCUUAACACAUGCAAGUCGAACGGAAAGGCCCUGCUUUUGUGGGGUGCUCGAGUGGCGAACGGGUGAGUAACACGUGAGUAACCUGCACCUGACUUUGGGAUAACUUCAGGAAACUGGGGCUAAUACCGGAUAGGAGCUCCUGCUGCAUGGUGGGGGUUGGAAAGUUUCGGCGGUUGGGGAUGGACUCGCGGCCUAUCAGCUUGUUGGGUUGGUAGUGGAUUACCAAGGCUUUGACGGGUAGCCGGCCUGAUAGGGUGACCGGCCACAUUGGGACUGAGCUACGGCCCAGACUCCAACGGUAGGCAACGGUGGAGAAUAUUACACAGUAGGCUGAAGCCAGAUGCAGCCACGCCGCGUGCGGGAUGACAGCCUUCGGGUUGUGAACCACUUUCGCCUGUGACGAGGCGUGAGUGACGGUAAUGGGUAAAUAAGCACCGGCUAACUACGUG